GAUGGGUGACGUCGAGCUGGAUGAGCUGGCGAGGAAGGUCACCGGCGCCAAGAAUUACGAGGACUUCGAGAAGCAGACCUUCUGCCCGGACUCUGUCGCCGAGUGCCACAACCUCGGCGGAGUUUGCUUGACUCCCAGUAUCGCGAGAACGUACGAACCUUUCAGUUCUGCUCGUCCACCAAGUAUAUCUCCAAUGCUGAAUCCUCGACGUGUUAUUGCUGCAUAAGUACAGGGAAAGAAUGCCAAACCACCAAAGGUUGCAGCGAGAGUGAAGGGAGAUGCGACCGCAAAUGCGCCAUUUGGGAGCGUUCCUACAACAACAUGUGCGCUCACCACAAGUGCCAGUGUUGCUUGGCUUCUUGCAAGACGUCUGACGCCUGCAAGGCCUAUGGAGGCCAUUGCAUAGACGAAAGAGAGGACUGCCAUGGCCAAGUGACCUCAGGGUGUAAGGGUUCCAAAUGCAAAUGCUGUGUUCCCCCAACUCCGUCACCGCCACCUGAGUGUCACGACAUGCCGAAAUGCACAGCGAAAGGAGGCUACUGUUCCCAAGAGCAUGAGUGCCACAAUGGAUAUUUCGAAGAUAAUCACUGCGGCUCAUAUUGUGGCUGCUGCAUAC